rnacentral:rRNA from 1 species
UACGUAGGGUGCGAGCGUAAUCGGAAUUACUGGGCGUAAAGUGUGCGCAGGCGGCCGCGCAAGUCGAGUGUGAAAGCCCCGGGCUUAACUUGGGAAUUGCGCUCGAAACUACGUGGCUGGAGUGUGGCAGAGGAAGGUGGAAUUCCAGGUGUAGCGGUGAAAUGCGUAGAGAUCUGGAAGGAACACCGGAUGGCGAAGGC